AAAGCUUCAGAUCCAAAUCGAUUUACAAACCGAGGAGGAAAUCUUCUAAAAGAAGAAAAACAACGAGCCAAGCUCCAGAAAAUGCUGCCCAAGCUGGAAGAAGAGUUGAAGGCACGAAUUGAAUUGUGGGAACAGGAACAUUCAAAGGCAUUUAUGGUGAAUGGGCAGAAAUUCAUGGAGUAUGUGGCAGAACAAUGGGAGAUGCAUCGAUUGGAGAAAGAGAGAGCCAAGCAGGAAAGACAACUCAAGAACAAAAAACAGACAGAGACAGAGAUGCUGUAUGGCAGCGCUCCUCGAACACCCAGCAAGCGGCGAGGACUGGUUCCCAAUACACCGGGCAAAGCACGUAAGGUAAACACGAGGCUUAGGGAAACACUGAUUUCAAGGGAGUGGGUGAGGGUAGUCCCAGCCACCUCUUUGAAGGGGGCCAGCCCCUCCACACCUGUGGGUAUUUCUCAUCAGGUGGGACAAGAGAC
rnacentral:sRNA from 1 species